CCUACGGGAGGCAGCAGUAAGGAAUAUUGGACAAUGGACGCAAGUCUGAUCCAGCCAUGCCGCGUGAAGGAUUAAGGCCCUCUGGGUUGUAAACUUCUUUUAUAGGGGACGAAAAAAGGGCUUUCUAGCUCGACUGACGGUACCCUAUGAAUAAGCACCGGCUAACUCCGUGCCAGCAGCCGCGGUAAUACGGAGGGUGCAAGCGUUAUCCGGAUUCACUGGGUUUAAAGGGUGCGUAGGCGGGUAGGUAAGUCAGUGGUGAAAUCUUCGAGCUCAACUCGGAAACUGCCAUUGAUACUAUUUAUCUUGAAUAUUGUGGAGGUGAGCGGAAUAUGUCAUGUAGCGGUGAAAUGCUUAGAUAUGACAUAGAACACCAAUUGCGUAGGCAGCUCGCUACACAUAUAUUGACGCUGAGGCACGAAAGCGUGGGGAUCAAACAGGAUUAGAUACCCUGGUAGUCCACGCCCUAAACUAUGAUUACUCGACAUAUGCGAUACACUGUAUGUGUCUGAGCGAAAGCAUUAAGUAAUCCACCUGGAAGUACGACCGCAAGGUUGAAACUUAAAUGAAUUGAGGCUUGAGAGNGCGAGGACGACACGAGGGAGGAGG
rnacentral:rRNA from 1 species